CACUUAUUGAGUAACCUGUUCAGCUAUUGCGUCAUCAAUGGAUAUUUACCCGUAAUGCCUUGAGUGGUUAUUUUUCAUGUUCUUUCAUCACUUACAUAUUAUAAGUCAUAAUGCAUGAAAAAGGAAAAUAUUAAAGUUUCACUGUGCCAGCGAAAACAAUUCUACCAAUAAUGCAUGUGAGAAACGUCACUGCUCAAGUCUUAUUUUAGUUACUAUCAUGCUAAAAUAUGCUUAUUUAUCACAACAGUAAUAAGGCUCCAGAAGAAUGCAAAUUCUAAAUGAAAGCCAGAAGGAUUGGAACGCAGAAGGUAGAAGUACGAAAAUAAAUAAUGAAAUAAAUAAAUGGAGAUAAAAAGAAAAGAAAAUCAUAGUGAGCUGCCGUAGUGUUUUUGCCAAUUCACCCCCACACUGUUUAACAGCAGCAAUUAGAUAAACAUUAAAAGCAACAACAGCUCCGCGAUAACAUUAAGGCAACGUUAUUAAUAACAAUGAUAACAACAACAGCGACGAUACUGACAAUAUUGACAAUAGCUAUAACAAGAGGAAGAGAUGAAACUUCUAAACGUCUAUUCCCACCUCAUCUAUACAUUUUAUUUUUAUUUUAUUUUAUAUUCCCUCGCGGAUAUCACUGCUCUGCGAUGGA
rnacentral:lncRNA from 1 species